rnacentral:hammerhead_ribozyme from 1 species
AUCCAGAUGACGAGUCCUACAUAGGACGAAAUGCGCAUCCUGGAU